AAUUGGGAUAGAUUCAGUAGACUAUAAAGAACAGAGUAGAAGAGAGAUUAGGCUGGGCAAAAUGAUUCAUUUGAAGCAAGGUGAUAUGUUGGCUCAAGUAGGAUCUGUAAUUGCUAGUAUAAUGUUUGUUUGGGCCAUGUUCAAACAGUACUUCCCAUACGAACUGCGAGAUCGUCUUGAGAAGUACACUCAAAAAGUCUUCGCCUUUGUUUACCCUUACAUUCAAAUCACAUUCCAUGAGUUCACCGGAGAGCGUCUGAUGCGCAGUGAAGCUUACUCCGCUAUUGAGACUUACCUUAGCUCCAGUUCUUCUAUGCAGGCCAAGCGGCUCAAGGCUGAGGUAGUCAAGAACAAUCAGUCACUUGUUCUGAGCAUGGAUGAUAAUGAAGAGGUUGCUGAUGAAUUCAAAGGAGUCAAGCUAUGGUGGGCUUCUGGGAAGAAUGUUUUCAAGUCGCAGACAUUUUCUUUCCAUCAGUUUACAGAUGAGAAAAGGUACUACAAGCUCAGGUUCCAUAAGAGACAUAGAGAUCUCA
rnacentral:misc_RNA from 1 species